GAGUGUACAAAGACAAUUUACACAGAAAAAGAUAAAGAUUUUCUCUCCCAAAUUGUGUUUCAACAUGGUAUCAGAACUAAUAGGUCAAUAAGGAUAAGUAUGAAAAUGGUGGUUGGUGAUCCCCGUGGUACCCCAACACGUUGAUGGAAGAGCAAGUAGGCUCUCGGUAGGUCCAAUGAAGCAAUAAGGCACUCUUCUGGAGAAGAGCAGACCGAU
rnacentral:misc_RNA from 1 species